rnacentral:rRNA from 1 species
UACGUAGGGUGCAAGCGUUAAUCGGAAUUACUGGGCGUAAAGCGUGCGCAGGCGGUGAUGUAAGACAGAUGUGAAAUCCCCGGGCUCAACCUGGGAACUGCAUUUGUGACUGCAUCGCUGGAGUGCGGCAGAGGGGGAUGGAAUUCCGCGUGUAGCAGUGAAAUGCGUAGAUAUGCGGAGGAACACCGAUGGCGAAGGGCAAUCCCCCUGGGCCUGCACUGACGCUCAUGCACGAAAGCGUGGGGAGCAAACAGG